rnacentral:rRNA from 1 species
UACGUAGGUGGCAAGCGUUAUCCGGAAUUAUUGGGCGUAAAGAGCGUGUAGGCGGCCAGACAGGUCCGUUGUGAAAACUCGAGGCUCAACCUCGAGAUGUCGAUGGAAACCGUCUGGCUAGAGUCCGGAAGAGGAGUGUGGAAUUCCUGGUGUAGCGGUGAAAUGCGCAGAUAUCAGGAAGAACACCUAUGGCGAAGGCAGCACUCUGGGACGGUACUGACGCUGAGGCGCGAAAGCGUGGGGAGCAAACAGG